AAAUUUAAACAAAAAAACUCUACUUUUGUUCUACCUACCUUUCUGUUUGUAUUCUCAUUCUAUUAAUUAAGUUCUGCUUCUUGCAAUUGUUUUCCCAGCAAGAUUGCGGCACUCACAUCUUGAAAUCCAAAUUCAAGAUUUUAAAGAAUUUUCUUAGCUCGAUCACUUUUAUGGCUUUUUCUGCUGUUGCAUCUGCAGUGCAACAAUUGGCAACCUGCUAACUGAGGAAGCCAUAUACCGAUGGGGUGUGGAGGAGCAAGUUGAUCGUCUGCAAACAGAGCUCAAAUGGAUGCAAAGAUACUUAAUGGACUUAGAGACAAAACAAUCAAAGGAUGAGAGGAUUCGUCUUUGGGUUGCUGAAAUCAGAGAGCUUGCUUAUGAUGCUGAGGAUGUUGUCGAGGAAUUUGCUCUCAAGAUUGGAUCCAAAAACAAAGGAGGUCUUCCGAGUUGUAUUAAAAGAUCAGCCUGCUGUUUGAAAGAGGGAUGGGCACUCCACAAAACCAGGUCAAAAAUGGAGAAAAUCAUAGAAAGAAUCAACGACUUGGUCCGACGACUACAGGCCUACGGAGUAAAGGAAUUAAAGGACAGAGGAGAAGAAUCAAGUUCUUCAACUGAAAGACGAGAAUCAAGGCGGCCUUAUCCACAUAUUAUGGAUGAUAAUACUGUUGGACUAAUAUAUAUAGUUCUGGAGUGCGGGAAAAGAAUGUCAAAGUAAAACCAUUGCAAGAUAUGCUAUUGGAAGAACCCGAGCUUUCUAGAUUAGGAAGGAUAAUGAGACGCCACUGACCUGUAUUCGGAUGUAGCCUUGCAUUUACAUGUUUGGUUUGCAGUGACCAUUCAUAAAUUUUGCUGUGACUACCCUGUUGCUAGUUCUUUUUUCCUACUUCGAUCUGCUCAAGUCUUUUAUGAUAUAAUUAAAUGUAAAAAUAUAUGUAAUAGUAGAAGCCAAGACAGGAUGUUGUAAAAUUGAUCAUUUUGUUUUUAAUGACCAUUUGUUCUCAUCUUUUUUCAUUUUUCAUAAAUGUGUCAAAUAUAUAUUUAUUGAAUAUAUUUAUGCUGGACACAUAUCCCAAUGUGGUACACUAAA